CAGCAAUCAUUCCUGCAGCUGCGCCUCAUGACAGAGGGGCCACCAGCGAUAGGUGGUCGGAGGUCCAUGCUUCACAUACCACGCAUCUGACAACCGAGGAGUGAAGUGGUCCGAUAUGACCGUAAAGUUAGAAGGGGGUUUUAAAGUCAACCUGUUGGGCUCUGUGACAGAUACAGCCACGGGGUUCUCCUUCUCUUUGACCAGACCUCAGUAAAGACCUCAGGGCUCAGGAAAGACAGAGGUGAGGGCCUGCCAAACCUUUGCCUCAACCCAUCAACGGUCCAGAGAGCCGAAAACAUGCCAAGACUGCC
ensembl:lncRNA